GAUGAACGCUGGCGGCGUGCUUAACACAUGCAAGUCGAACGGUGAACACGGAGCUUGCUCUGUGGGAUCAGUGGCGAACGGGUGAGUAACACGUGAGCAACCUGCCCCUGACUCUGGGAUAAGCGCUGGAAACGGCGUCUAAUACUGGAUAUGUGACGUGACCGCAUGGUCUGCGUUUGGAAAGAUUUUUCGGUUGGGGAUGGGCUCGCGGCCUAUCAGCUUGUUGGUGAGGUAAUGGCUCACCAAGGCGUCGACGGGUAGCCGGCCUGAGAGGGUGACCGGCCACACUGGGACUGAGACACGGCCCAGACUCCUACGGGAGGCAGCAGUGGGGAAUAUUGCACAAUGGGCGCAAGCCUGAUGCAGCAACGCCGCGUGAGGGAUGACGGCCUUCGGGUUGUAAACCUCUUUUAGCAGGGAAGAAGCGAAAGUGACGGUACCGGCAGAAAAAGCGCCGGCUACUACGUG
rnacentral:rRNA from 1 species